UUAUUCUGUUCGAUUCUUCCAUGUUAGUUUGAAUUAGGUUAAACCAAUGUUAGAUUAUUGAUGUGCAUGAUGAGAUGAACCGAUUGGUGUAUUCAUUUUCAAUUUCUGUGAAAAAAGUUCAUGAUGAUGAUGAACAUGAUGAAGGAGCGAUGAACCCUAAAUAUUUCAUGUCCAGAUCGUGUUAGAUCCUGUUGCCCGUGUUUCUGCAUGUUUUCUG
rnacentral:lncRNA from 1 species